rnacentral:rRNA from 1 species
AACGAACGCUGGCGGCAUGCCUAACACAUGCAAGUCGAACGAGACCUUCGGGUCUAGUGGCGCACGGGUGCGUAACGCGUGGGAACCUGCCCUUAGGUUCGGAAUAACUCCCCGAAAGGGGUGCUAAUACCGGAUAAUGUCUUCGGACCAAAGAUUUAUCGCCUUUGGAUGGGCCAGCGUUGGAUUAGCUAGUUGGUAGGGUAAAAGCCUACCAAGGCGACGAUCCAUAGCUGGUCUGAGAGGAUGAUCAGCCACACUGGGACUGAGACACGGCCCAGACUCCUACGGGAGGUAGCAGUGGGGAAUAUUGGACAAUGGGCGAAAGCCUGAUCCAGCAAUGCCGCGUGAGUGAUGAAGGCCUUAGGGUUGUAAAGCUCUUUUACCCGGGAUGAUAAUGACAGUACCGGGAGAAUAAGCUCCGGCUAACUCCGUG